UACGUAGGGUGCAAGCGUUGUUCGGAAUCAUUGGGCGUAAAGCGCGUGUAGGCGGUUUGUUAAGUCGAUUGUGAAAUCCCUGGGCUCAACCGAGGAAGUGCAGUCGAAACUAACAAGCUAGAGGACGGCAGAGGAUGGUGGAAUUCCAAGUGUAGAGGUGAAAUUCGUAGAUAUUUGGAGGAAUACCGGUGGCGAAGGCGGCCAUCUGGCCCGGUACUGACGCUGAGACGCGAAAGCGUGGGGAGCAAACAGG
rnacentral:rRNA from 1 species